rnacentral:rRNA from 1 species
CAAGGAUUCCCCUAGUAACUGCGAGUGAAGCGGGAAAAGCUCAAAUUUAAAAUCUGGCAGCCUCCGGUUGUCCGAGUUGUAACCUAGAGAAGUGUUAUCCGUGUUGGACCGUGUUUAAGUCUCCUGGAAUGGAGCGUCAUAGAGGGUGAGAAUCCCGUCUUUGACACGGACCGCCAAUGCAUUGUGAUGCGCUCUCAAAGAGUCGAGUUGUUUGGGAAUGCAGCUCAAAAUGGGUGGUAAAUUCCAUCUAAAGCUAAAUAUUGGCGAGAGACCGAUAGCGAACAAGUACCGUGAGGGAAAGAUGAAAAGAACUUUGGAAAGAGAGUUAAACAGUACGUGAAAUUGCUGAAAGGGAAACGCUUGAAGUCAGUCGCGUUGGCCAGGAAUCAACCUUGCUUCUGCUGGGUGUACUUUCUGGUCGACGGGUCAGCAUCAAUUUUGGCCGUCGGAAAAAGUUCAGAGGAAUGUGGCAUCUUCGGAUGUGUUAUAGCCUUUGUUCGCAUACGACGGCUGGGAUUGAGGAGCUCAGCACGCCGCAAGGCCGGGUUUCGACCACGUACGUGCUUAGGAUGCUGGCAUAAUGGCUUUAAUCGACCCGUCUUGAAACACGGACCAAGGAGUCUAACAUGCCUGCGAGUGUUUGGGUGGAAAACCCGAGCGCGUAAUGAAAGUGAAAGUUGAGAUCCCUGUCGCGGGGAGCAUCGACGCCCGGACCAGACCUCUUGUGACGGUUCCGCGGUAGAGCAUGUAUGUUGGGACCCGAAAGAUGGUGAACUAUGCCUGAAUAGGGUGAAGCCAGAGGAAACUCUGGUGGAGGCUCGUAGCGAUUCUGACGUGCAAAUCGAUCGUCAAAUUUGGGUAUAGGGGCGAAAGACUAAUCGAACCAUCUAGUAGCUGGUUCCUGCCGAAGUUUCCCUCAGGAUAGCAGAAACUCAUUUCAGAUUUAUGUGGUAAAGCGAAUGAUUAGAGGCCUUGGGGUUGAAACAACCUUAACCUAUUCUCAAACUUUAAAUAUGUAA